ACUCCUACGGGAGGCAGCAGUGGGGAAUAUUGCACAAUGGGCGCAAGCCUGAUGCAGCCAUGCCGCGUGUGUGAAGAAGGCCUUCGGGUUGUAAAGCACUUUCAGUUGUGAGGAAGGUGGUGUCGUUAAUAGCGGCAUCAUUUGACGUUAGCAACAGAAGAAGCACCGGCUAACUCCGUGCCAGCAGCCGCGGUAAUACGGAGGGUGCGAGCGUUAAUCGGAAUUACUGGGCGUAAAGCGCAUGCAGGUGGUUUGUUAAGUCAGAUGUGAAAGCCCGGGGCUCAACCUCGGAACUGCAUUUGAAACUGGCAGACUAGAGUACUGUAGAGGGGGGUAGAAUUUCAGGUGUAGCGGUGAAAUGCGUAGAGAUCUGAAGGAAUACCGGUGGCGAAGGCGGCCCCCUGGACAGAUACUGACACUCAGAUGCGAAAGCGUGGGGAGCAAACAGGAUUAGAUACCCUGGUAGCACAGAGC
rnacentral:rRNA from 1 species